rnacentral:rRNA from 1 species
UACGGGGGGAGCAAGCGUUGUUCGGAUUUACUGGGCGUAAAGGGCGCGUAGGCGGUCAGCACAAGUCAGUUGUGAAAUCUCCGGGCUUAACUCGGAAAGGUCAACUGAUACUGUGCGACUAGAGUGCAGAAGGGGCAACUGGAAUUCUCGGUGUAGCGGUGAAAUGCGUAGAUAUCGGGAGGAACACCAGUGGCGAAGGCGACUUCCUGGCCUGUUCUUGACGCUGAGGCGCGAAAGCUAGGGGAGCAAACGGGGA